CCUACGGGAGGCAGCAGUGGGGAAUAUUGCACAAUGGGGGAAACCCUGAUGCAGCGACGCCGCGUGAGUGAGGACGUAUUUCGGUAUGUAAAGCUCUAUCAGCAGGGAAGUAAAUGACGGUACCUGACUAAGUAGCCCCGGCGAACUACGUGCCAGCAGCCGCGGUUAUACGUAGGGGGCAGGCGUUAUCCGGAUUUACUGGGUGUAAAGGGAGCGUAGACGGCUAAUCAAGUCAGAAGUGAAAACUCCGGGCUCAACUUUGGGACUGCAUUUGAAACUGGGUAGCUAGAGUGCAGGAGAGGUAAGCGGAAUUCCUAGUGUAGCGGUGAAAUGCGUAGAUAUGAGGAGGAACACCAGUGGCGAAGGCAGCUUACUGGACUGUAACUGACGUUGAGGCUCGAAAGCGUGGGGAGCGAACAGGAUUAGAUACCCUUGUAGUC
rnacentral:rRNA from 1 species